UACGUAGGGUGCGAGCGUUAAUCGGAAUUACUGGGCGUAAAGCGUGUGUAGGUGGUUGCGUAAGUUAGAUGUGAAAUCCCCGGGCUCAACCUGGGAAUUGCGUUUAAAACUGCGUAGCUAGAGUAUUGUAGAGGAUAGUGGAAUUUCCAGUGUAGCGGUGAAAUGCGUAGAUAUUGGAAGGAACACCAGUGGCGAAGGCGACUAUCUGGGCAAAUACUGACACUGAGACACGAGAGCAUGGGGAGCAAACAGG
rnacentral:rRNA from 1 species